CCUAAUAAUUCUGCACUCCCUGUAUAAUUCAAAGUUGAGUUGUGAUACAGUGGUUAAACUGACAUGAGUGCAGAUCUAGCAUCAUCUUCUGCACUGUUUGCUUGUUUUUUUUCUUUCUCUCUCCCCCCUCACUCUAUGAUCUUCACACAAGUAUUUGCGACCCUCAGUGAGAAUGUCUAUUUUCUAUCAAACCUGUGUCUUAUCUGCACUUAUUUCAAUCUAAC